CAGUCGCCGCGGGAAUACGGAGGGAGCUAGCGUUGUUCGGAAUUACUGGGCGUAAAGGGCUCGCAGGCGGUUUCUUAAGUCUGAUGUGAAAGCCCCCGGCUCAACCGGGGAGGGUCAUUGGAAACUGGGAAACUUGAGUGCAGAAGGGGAGAGUGGAAUUCCACGUGUAGCGGUGAAAUGCGUAGAGAUGUGGAGGAACACCAGUGGCGAAGGCGACUCUCUGGUCUGUAACUGACGCUGAGGAGCGAAAGCGUGGGGAGCGAACAGGAUUAGAUACCCCGGUAGUCCCUGUCUCUUAUAC
rnacentral:rRNA from 1 species